AUUGAACGCUGGCGGCAUGCCUUACACAUGCAAGUCGAACGGUAACAGGUCUUCGGAUGCUGACGAGUGGCGAACGGGUGAGUAGUACAUCGGAACGUGCCUAGUAGAGGGGGAUAACUACUCGAAAGAGUGGCUAAUACCGCAUGAGAUCUACGGAUGAAAGCAGGGGAUCGCAAGACCUUGUGCUACUAGAGCGGCCGAUGGCAGAUUAGGUAGUUGGUGGGAUAAAAGCUUACCAAGCCGACGAUCUGUAGCUGGUCUGAGAGGACGAUCAGCCACACUGGGACUGAGACACGGCCCAGACUCCUACGGGAGGCAGCAGUGGGGAAUUUUGGACAAUGGGCGAAAGCCUGAUCCAGCAAUGCCGCGUGCAGGAUGAAGGCCUUCGGGUUGUAAACUGCUUUUGUACGGAACGAAAAGCCCCGGGUUAAUACCCUGGGGUCAUGACGGUACCGUAAGAAUAAGCACCGGCUAACUACGUGCCAGCAGCCGCAGUAA
rnacentral:rRNA from 1 species